rnacentral:tRNA from 1 species
UGCGGGGUUAAGUAAUUGGUUAACUUAUUAGGCUCAUAACCUAAAGAUUGUAGGUUCAAGUCCUACCUCCGCAC